rnacentral:rRNA from 1 species
GACGAACGCUGGCGGCGUGCCUAAUACAUGCAAGUAGAACGCUGAAGGAGGAGCUUACUUCUCUGGAUGAGUUGCGAACGGGUGAGUAACGCGUAGGUAACCUGCCUGGUAGCGGGGGAUAACUAUUGGAAACGAUAGCUAAUACCGCAUAAGAGUAGAUGUUGCAUGACAUUUACUUAAAAGGUGCAAUUGCACCACUAUCAGAUGGACCUGCGUGGUAUUAGCUAGUUGGUGGGGUAACGGCUUACCAAGGCGACGAUACAUAGCCGACCUGAGAGGGUGAACGGCCACACUGGGACUGAGACACGGCCCAGACUCCUACGGGAGGCAGCAGUAGGGAAUCUUCGGCAAUGGACGGAAGUCUGACCGAGCAACGCCGCGUGAGUGAAGAAGGUUUUCGGAUCGUAAAGCUCUGUUGUAAGAGAAGAACGAGUGUGAGAGUGGAAAGUUCACACUGUGGCGGUAUCUUACCAGAAAGGGACGGCUAACUACGUGCCAGCAGCCGCCGUAA